rnacentral:rRNA from 1 species
AAUCCCGAGGCUCAACCUCGGGCUUGCAGUGGGUACGGGCAGACUAGAGUGCGGUAGGGGAGAUUGGAAUUCCUGGUGUAGCGGUGGAAUGCGCAGAUAUCAGGAGGAACACCGAUGGCGAAGGCAGAUCUCUGGGCCGUAACUGACGCUGAGGAGCGAAAGCGUGGGGAGCGAACAGGAUUAGAUACCCUGGUAGUCCACGCCGUAAACGUUGGGCGCUAGAUGUAGGGACCUUUCCACGGUUUCUGUGUCGUAGCUAACGCAUUAAGCGCCCCGCCUGGGGAGUACGGCCGCAAGGCUAAAACUCAAAGGAAUUGACGGGGGCCCGCACAAGCGGCGGAGCAUGCGGAUUAAUUCGAUGCAACGCGAAGAACCUUACCAAGGCUUGACAUACACCGGAAACGGCCAGAGAUGGUCGCCCCCUUGUGGUCGGUGUACAGGUGGUGCAUGGUUGUCGUCAGCUCGUGUCGUGAGAUGUUGGGUUAAGUCCCGCAACGAGCGCAACCCUCGUUCUAUGUUGCCAGCGCGUUAUGGCGGGGACUCAUAGGAGACUGCCGGGGUCAACUCGGAGGAAGGUGGGGAUGACGUCAAAUCAUCAUGCCCCUUAUGUCUUGGGCUUCACGCAUGCUACAAUGGCCGGUACAAAGGGCUGCGAUACCGUAAGGUGGAGCGAAUCCCAAAAAGCCGGUCUCAGUUCGGAUUGAGGUCUGCAACUCGACCUCAUGAAGUCGGAGUCGCUAGUAAUCGCAGAUCAGCAACGCUGCGGUGAAUACGUUCCCGGGCCUUGUACACACCGCCCGUCAA